rnacentral:sRNA from 1 species
ACAGCCACCUUAGUAGGAAUUUCCCCUGU